rnacentral:rRNA from 1 species
CCUACGAGAGGCAGCAGUGGGGGAUAUUGCACAAUGGGGGAAACCCUGAUGCAGCGACGCCGCGUGUGGGAAGACGGUCUUCUGGAUUGUAAACCACUGUCCCCAGGGACGAAGAUGACGGUACCUGCGGAGGAAGCUCCGGCGAACUACGUGCCAGCAGCCGCGGUAAUACGUAGGGAGCGACCGUUGUCCGGAAUUACUGGGUGAAACGGGAGCGUGGGCGGGGAUGCAAGUUGGGUGUCAAAGCUACGGGCUCAACUGGUAGUCGCACUCGAAACUGCAGGUCUUGAGUGAAUGAGAGGCCAGCGGAAUUCCUAGUGUAGCGGUGAAAGGCGUAGAUAUUAGGAGGAACACCAGUGGCGAAGGCGGCCUGCUGGGCUUUUACUGACGCUGAGGCUCGAAAGUGUGGGGAGCAAACAGGAUUAGAUACCCCGGUAGUC